rnacentral:tRNA from 1 species
GCAAGUAAUAGCUCAGCUGUUAGAACAUGAGACUCUUAAACUCAAGGCUGUGGGUUUGAGCCCCACGUUAGGCA